UGGGGAAUUUUGGACAAUGGGGGAAACCCUGAUCCAGCCAUCCCGCGUGUGCGAUGAAGGCCUUCGGGUUGUAAAGCACUUUUGGCAGGAAAGAAACGUCAUGGGUUAAUACCCCGUGAAACUGACGGUACCUGCAGAAUAAGCACCGGCUAACUACGUGCCAGCAGCCGCGGUAAUACGUAGGGUGCAAGCGUUAAUCGGAAUUACUGGGCGUAAAGCGUGCGCAGGCGGUUCGGAAAGAAAGAUGUGAAAUCCCAGAGCUCAACUUUGGAACUGCAUUUUUAACUACCGGGCUAGAGUGUGUCAGAGGGAGGUGGAAUUCCGGGUGUAGCAGUGAAAUGCGUAGAUAUGCGGAGGAACACCGAUGGCGAAGGCAGCCUCCUGGGAUAACACUGACGCUAAUGCACGAAAGCGUGGGGAGCAAACAGG
rnacentral:rRNA from 1 species